AUCAAUCACGCUUGCCACGCAUCCAAAACCCACUAAAAAUCCACCGCCCUGUUCUCCGGUGUUCACAAACCCGUCACGCAUGAAACCUAACAGAGAGAAAGUGGGGGCGACACAAAGAAGAGAGAGCGCAUGAAGGAACAUCGUCAACACCCAAGCCCUCCCGACGUCCAUUAUACUCCGGCGAUAACAACGGUUGUUUCUAGGGUUUUGAGACACGGCGGCAGCUUUGAGGUCCGCCGCUGAUGGUGACGGUGAUGGUGGAUUCAAGGUGACAGUGAGGGUUUACAACUGAUUCGAGGUAAUUUGAUUUUUUCGGCGUGUUUCUAUUUCGAUUAUUACAGAUAGUAUGUUGCUGUUACAAUCGACAAAUAAGGAGGAGUUGAUAUUGAGAUCGAUUAAGGAGGAGUGUUGUUGGGAGAAUCACAUGGUUUUUUUGUUAUUUAGUUGAUUUUGAUACCAGCUGUUUAAAUUCAGGUGCUAAUUCAUCAUUACAUUCACUUUUCAGCUAAAUGUUCAUGAUUUAUAUUUCAUUUGUUCCAAAAAUUACUAUAUGUUAAUAGACAAACGGAAAUGAGUAGUGGCACACUGCUUUAUUUAUAUCCUUGUCAUUUUCAUGUGUUCACUGGGCGCCUAGCAGGUUUUUACCACCACCACAUGUGGCCUCUCAUGAAUGAAUGUGAGGUGUUAGGUUAUUCAUAUAAACACGAGGGAAGAUAAAAUAUGACAUAAGAGAGAAUCAGGCCGACCAUUUUACAGCAAUGACUAGCAGCGCCUCUGAAUGACGACGGCUAGGGUUACCGGGAUGUCCAGAGAGGCGGAGGUGUUCCGCAAAGGGGAUUUGGUUCAACAUGGCAGCAAAGACAAUGGAGUUUAGGGUUCCGACGACCGUUUUGGUCAGAAAGGAGACAACCAGUGCUUUAGGCGACGCCCAACCCUCCGACAAAGAUCCGCCAAAGUUCAGGUAAGCCCUCUUUACCUGCAUGUUCUGUUUUUACAACAAUCGGCAACCGGAAUGUGAUUUUGUUCAGGUCAGGGGUUUCUCAUAGUUUUGUAGAUUAGAGCAAAUGGAUGAUAUCGAUUCACAGUAUUGUAAAAUUUGUGAAUCAGUUUAGGAGUUAAGUAUAAUUUCUUUGGGAAUUGAAUUUUAAGGUUAGAAUUUCUUCAACAUUGAGAUCAAUAGCAUCAGGUUGUUCGUAAGAAUGCUGAUAAUAAAAACAAACAUCAGUCCAUUUGAAAUAUGUGUACAAUGGUAACCUCGGAGUUCCAGCGUCGACAAGGAACCAAACACGAAUCCGGUAAGUAUCAAGUAAACUUCCGAUGAGUGUAAAUACAAUAACCAGAAUAAUUAAUAUUUCAUGGCAUAUGGUUAAUACUUGAAUUGUUUUGGGUUCUUUUCGUGUGGAUAGCUCUCUAAUUGAAUUAUAAAUUUUGAUUUGUUACCACAACUUUCUCCUGUUUCUAAGUCAUGGUGUUGUUUUGUUAACACCAAAGAAAAAUAUGAUUGUGUUCACUACGCCAACUGGUUAUGAGAUCACCACCAAGAAGUAGCUGGAUCAAUACCUAAAAUCAUUUUAUUUAUAGAAUUUAGAUUGGGUAAUCAUAUAUUAGACAUUAAUUGUAAAUUUGAAGUUUGACACAAAUGUUUUUGUGGGUCAAGCUGCCAUAGGCGUUUUGACCUGUACCAAAAUGACUCAUCUCAAAUCGAGCCUUUAUACACCCUUUUACCCUCCGCAGCUAUCUUGCCACUUCUAUUUGCAACACUAAAUUAUUUUUAAAAAUUUACUAGAUUAUUUGUGUUUUCAAGGUCAGCAGAGUCGGCUCUAUUAGAGGAGACUAUUCAAAAAAUCAUGUCAAGUAUGUUUGGAGAUUACUCUCUUAUCACUAUAAAACAUGAUGAACGUAUAUCAGGUUGCAGACGGCUAACAGAUGAAUGCAGGCAGUGAACUAGGGGUUCUUCACAUACUUUUGGAUCUCUGGACAAUCAAUGUUGAAAAGCUAAAUCAGGAAUGGUUAACAAAAUCAGCUGAUCCUGACCAGCCACCGCACCAAACCGGCAAUUCAGUCUGGAAGUGAGGUUACGAACUACGUUGUGACGGCGAAAAAAGACAAGGCAAUUCCAGCAGGAAAUGGUGUUACGAGCGGUCCUGAGAAGGACCUGAAUGUAUGUUUUUUGUUUGUGUGUUCGUCAUUACCGUGGCUUCUGGGCUAUGCAAGCUGAUUGAACAUGGGAACCCUUCCUAUCUGUACUUAAUUGACAUAUAAGGAGCUUCUUGAUGAGGUAAAGGCAAUGUAAUGUAUAACCCACUGAUAUAUUUGAGUUUAUAAACAUUUUUCAUUCUAAAACGUUUAUAACUCAAGCACCAGUAAAGCAUCUCUCAUUCAUGAGCCAAUUAGCUAUUCCUAUUUUGACUAAUGUUGUUUGGAUGUGUUUAUGUUAUCAAGGUUAUAUUAGACUGAAUACCCGCAGCUCUUUAAACCGGGUUCGGCUCUAUAUUAAUGAGACAUAGGUAUUGAAACCGGUACUAGGAACGCCAAAAGUCGGUACCGAAUUGGUACUUAGGAUCCUUCGGUUCGGGAAAUUCGGUACUGGUACCCAGUAUUAUUUGCUCAUCUUUGACCACGGGUUUCAUACGAACAACAUCAUUAACAUAUAACUUUUUUUGGUUGAUUUUCUUUCGAUUAUUUUAGCUUACAAUUGUCCAAUUCAUUAUCAUUCAACGUUUGUUGUUAUUACUCUAUGCAGGUAUGUAUUAGUGUUUUUUUUUUCCAAAUUAUUGACUUAUCAUACAUGUCUUAAUGAGUUUGCAUUUUCAUUUCAGUCUUAAGUGUAUUGUAAAUUGUAAUAUUUGAGUUUUAGUAGAGGCCAAUUAAAGCUUUCUAAAUUUGUUUAAUUUUGGUUGUUGAUCUGGAUACUUCAGUUUGUUGUUCUAACCCAUAGAAUCUUAAUAACUUGCCAAAAUUACAAGGGUCAAUGCUCUGUGCUGUUCACGAUAACUUUGCUGGUGUUACGGUUACCUUGGCUUUACACGGGGAUGAUAUUUUCGUGUUUUUGCUGGCGCUUCGAAGACCAAUGCUUCUAUAUAGAAUUAUUACGAUUGGGGAGAGCCCGAAUGUUGGUAUAAUGUCCUUGAUAGUGAAGCCGGUGCUUUCGGAAGCUAGGUUCUUAUGGCAUUUCCUGUUGGAUGGCUAUAAUGCUAUGUCAGUUUUAGUUUUUGGUGUUGCUUCUUAGAACAUCAUUGCUAAAUUUUGAAGUUAUAAAUUUGUAUUUUAGUAUGCUUUUAAAAAAAUUGAUUCGCCAGAUA